rnacentral:rRNA from 1 species
AUGUCCGCCGACUGCCACAGCUCGUCCGCCGGCUUGUGCAGCGGCAGCACGUGCGCCUUUGCCCACGGCUCCAGUUGCUGCAGUACCUCCAGACUCUACGGCGCAAGCAAGAAAGAGGUUCUGGAGAAGAAGCUGAAAGAGAAAGAUGGUGACAUAGAAGCUCUCAAGAAGAAGCAGAGAAUGGAGAAGAGAAUGAUUGCAAUGGAGAUCAGUUGCUAUCCAGAGAUAGGAUGA